GUCGAGCGAUGGAUAAGAGCUUGCUCUUAUGAAGUUAGCGGCGGACGGGUGAGUAACACGUGGGUAACCUGCCCAUAAGACUGGGAUAACUCCGGGAAACCGGGGCUAAUACCGGAUAACAUUUUGAACCGCAUGGUUCGAAAUUGAAAGGCGGCUUCGGCUGUCACUUAUGGAUGGACCCGCGUCGCAUUAGCUAGUUGGUGAGGUAACGGCUCACCAAGGCAACGAUGCGUAGCCGACCUGAGAGGGUGAUCGGCCACACUGGGACUGAGACACGGCCCAGACUCCUACGGGAGGCAGCAGUAGGGAAUCUUCCGCAAUGGACGAAAGUCUGACGGAGCAACGCCGCGUGAGUGAUGAAGGCUUUCGGGUCGUAAAACUCUGUUGUUAGGGAAGAACAAGUGCUAGUUGAAUAAGCUGGCACCUUGACGGUACCUAACCAGAAAGCCACGGCUAACUACGUGCCAGCAGCCGCGGUAAUACGUAGGUGGCAAGCGUUAUCCGGAAUUAUUGGGCGUAAAGCGCGCGCAGGUGGUUUCUUAAGUCUGAUGUGAAAGCCCACGGCUCAACCGUGGAGGGUCAUUGGAAACUGGGAGACUUGAGUGCAGAAGAGGAAAGUGGAAUUCCAUGUGUAGCGGUGAAAUGCGUAGAGAUAUGGAGGAACACCAGUGGCGAAGGCGACUUUCUGGUCUGUAACUGACACUGAG
rnacentral:rRNA from 1 species